rnacentral:lncRNA from 1 species
UUAAUAUCUAUUCUACAUAGCCCCACUCGUAUCUAUGCAACGUCCUCGCAAACACUCAAUUCUUACCUAUCUAAAAACUACUUAACAAAACUCUACAAAAUUACUAUUUUCUUUGGCCCACCCAAUUGAUCAUUUACUGCAUUAUCUAAUAUGCGUUCCAUCGAAUCUGGUUCCAAUUGCAAAUCUUCUUCCUCCUCUUUCACUCUAGCUAUUAAUUCCUUCCUC